rnacentral:rRNA from 1 species
CCUACGGGGGGCAGCAGUGAGGAAUAUUGGUCAAUGGACGAGAGUCUGAACCAGCCAAGUAGCGUGAAGGAUGACUACCCUAUGGGUUGUAAACUUCUUUUAUAUGGGAAUAAAAUGUUCCACGUGUGGGAUUUUGUAUGUACCAUAUGAAUAAGGAUCGGCUAACUCCGUGCCAGCAGCCGCGGUAAUACGGAGGAUCCGAGCGUUAUCCGGAUUUAUUGGGUUUAAAGGGAGCGUAGGUGGAUGGAUAAGUCAGUUGUGAAAGUUUGCGGCUCAACCGUAAAAUUGCAGUUGAAACUGGCAGGCUAGAGUACAGUAGAGGUGGGCGGAAUGCGUGGUGUAGCGGUGAAAUGCUUAGAUAUCACGAAGAACUCCGAUUGCGAAGGCAGCUCACUGGACUGCAACUGACACUGAGGCUCGAAAGUGUGGGGAGCAAACAGGAUUAGAUACCCUUGUAGUC